rnacentral:misc_RNA from 1 species
CCAAUAGCGUAUAUUAAAGUUGUUGCAGUUAAAAAGCUCGUAGUUGAAUUUCGGGGUCAGUAGGUCGGUCGUGCCACUGGUAUGAACUGGUUUUACUGAUUCCUCCCUCUUGAAGAACUGUAAUGCCAUUAAUUUGUUGUUGUAGGGAAUCAGGACUGUUACUUUGAAAAAAUUAGAGUGUUUAAAGCAGGCUUUAGCUUGAAUACAUUAGCAUGGAAUAAUGAAAUAGGACGUUUGAUCCUAUUUUGUUGGUUUCUAGGAUUGACGUAAUGAUUAAUAGGGAUAGUUGGGGGCAUUAGUAUUCAAUUGUCAGAGGUGAAAUUCUUGGAUUUAUUGAAGACUAACUACUGCGAAAGCAUUUGCCAAGGAUGUUUUCAUUAAUCAAGAACGAAAGUUAGGGGAUCGAAGACGAUCAGAUACCGUCGUAGUCUUAACCAUAAACUAUGCCGACUAGGGAUCGGAUGAUGUUAAUUUUUUAAUGACUCAUUCGGCGCCUUACG